rnacentral:rRNA from 1 species
UGCAGUCGAGCGGUAGCACAGAGAGCUUGCUCUCGGGUGACGAGCGGCGGACGGGUGAGUAAUGUCUGGGAAACUGCCUGAUGGAGGGGGAUAACUACUGGAAACGGUAGCUAAUACCGCAUAACGUCGCAAGACCAAAGUGGGGGACCUUCGGGCCUCAUGCCAUCAGAUGUGCCCAGAUGGGAUUAGCUAGUAGGUGGGGUAAUGGCUCACCUAGGCGACGAUCCCUAGCUGGUCUGAGAGGAUGACCAGCCACACUGGAACUGAGACACGGUCCAGACUCCUACGGGAGGCAGCAGUGGGGAAUAUUGCACAAUGGGCGCAAGCCUGAUGCAGCCAUGCCGCGUGUAUGAAGAAGGCCUUCGGGUUGUAAAGUACUUUCAGCGAGGAGGAAGGCGUUAAGGUUAAUAACCUUGGCGAUUGACGUUACUCGCAGAAGAAGCACCGGCUAACUCCGUGCCAGCAGCCGCGGUAAUACGGAGGGUGCAAGCGUUAAUCGGAAUUACUGGGCGUAAAGCGCACGCAGGCGGUCUGUCAAGUCGGAUGUGAAAUCCCCGGGCUCAACCUGGGAACUGCAUUCGAAACUGGCAGGCUAGAGUCUUGUAGAGGGGGGUAGAAUUCCAGGUGUAGCGGUGAAAUGCGUAGAGAUCUGGAGGAAUACCGGUGGCGAAGGCGGCCCCCUGGACAAAGACUGACGCUCAGGUGCGAAAGCGUGGGGAGCAAACAGGAUUAGAUACCCUGGUAGUCCACGCCGUAAACGAUGUCGACUUGGAGGUUGUGCCCUUGAGGCGUGGCUUCCGGAGCUAACGCGUUAAGUCGACCGCCUGGGGAGUACGGCCGCAAGGUUAAAACUCAAAUGAAUUGACGGGGGCCCGCACAAGCGGUGGAGCAUGUGGUUUAAUUCGAUGCAACGCGAAGAACCUUACCUGGUCUUGACAUCCACAGAACUUUCCAGAGAUGGAUUGGUGCCUUCGGGAACUGUGAGACAGGUGCUGCAUGGCUGUCGUCAG